UUAAGCGACUAAGCGUACACGGUGGAUGCCCUGGCAGUCAGAGGCGAUGAAGGACGUGCUAAUCUGCGAUAAGCGUCGGUAAGGUGAUAUGAACCGUUAUAACCGGCGAUUUCCGAAUGGGGAAACCCAGUGUGAUUCGUCACACUAUCAUUAACUGAAUCCAUAGGUUAAUGAGGCGAACCGGGGGAACUGAAACAUCUAAGUACCCCGAGGAAAAGAAAUCAACCGAGAUUCCCCCAGUAGCGGCGAGCGAACGGGGAGCAGCCCAGAGCCUGAAUCAGUGUGUGUGUUAGUGGAAGCGUCUGGAAAGGCGCGCGAUACAGGGUGACAGCCCCGUACACAAAAAUGCACAUGCUGUGAGCUCGAUGAGUAGGGCGGGACACGUGGUAUCCUGUCUGAAUAUGGGGGGACCAUCCUCCAAGGCUAAAUACUCCUGACUGACCGAUAGUGAACCAGUACCGUGAGGGAAAGGCGAAAAGAACCCCGGCGAGGGGAGUGAAAAAGAACCUGAAACCGUGUACGUACAAGCAGUGGGAGCACGCUUAGGCGUGUGACUGCGUACCUUUUGUAUAAUGGGUCAGCGACUUAUAUUCUGUAGCAAGGUUAACCGAAUAGGGGAGCCGAAGGGAAACCGAGUCUUAACUGGGCGUUAAGUUGCAGGGUAUAGACCCGAAACCCGGUGAUCUAGCCAUGGGCAGGUUGAAGGUUGGGUAACACUAACUGGAGGACCGAACCGACUAAUGUUGAAAAAUUAGCGGAUGACUUGUGGCUGGGGGUGAAAGGCCAAUCAAACCGGGAGAUAGCUGGUUCUCCCCGAAAGCUAUUUAGGUAGCGCCUCGUGAAUUCAUCUCCGGGGGUAGAGCACUGUUUCGGCAAGGGGGUCAUCCCGACUUACCAACCCGAUGCAAACUGCGAAUACCGGAGAAUGUUAUCACGGGAGACACACGGCGGGUGCUAACGUCCGUCGUGAAGAGGGAAACAACCCAGACCGCCAGCUAAGGUCCCAAAGUCAUGGUUAAGUGGGAAACGAUGUGGGAAGGCCCAGACAGCCAGGAUGUUGGCUUAGAAGCAGCCAUCAUUUAAAGAAAGCGUAAUAGCUCACUGGUCGAGUCGGCCUGCGCGGAAGAUGUAACGGGGCUAAACCAUGCACCGAAGCUGCGGCAGCGACGCUGAUGCGUUGUUGGGUAGGGGAGCGUUCUGUAAGCCUGCGAAGGUGUGCUGUGAGGCAUGCUGGAGGUAUCAGAAGUGCGAAUGCUGACAUAAGUAACGAUAAAGCGGGUGAAAAGCCCGCUCGCCGGAAGACCAAGGGUUCCUGUCCAACGUUAAUCGGGGCAGGGUGAGUCGACCCCUAAGGCGAGGCCGAAAGGCGUAGUCGAUGGGAAACAGGUUAAUAUUCCUGUACUUGGUGUUACUGCGAAGGGGGGACGGAGAAGGCUAUGUUGGCCGGGCGACGGUUGUCCCGGUUUAAGCGUGUAGGCUGGUUUUCCAGGCAAAUCCGGAAAAUCAAGGCUGAGGCGUGAUGACGAGGCACUACGGUGCUGAAGCAACAAAUGCCCUGCUUCCAGGAAAAGCCUCUAAGCAUCAGGUAACAUCAAAUCGUACCCCAAACCGACACAGGUGGUCAGGUAGAGAAUACCAAGGCGCUUGAGAGAACUCGGGUGAAGGAACUAGGCAAAAUGGUGCCGUAACUUCGGGAGAAGGCACGCUGAUAUGUAGGUGAAGUCCCUCGCGGAUGGAGCUGAAAUCAGUCGAAGAUACCAGCUGGCUGCAACUGUUUAUUAAAAACACAGCACUGUGCAAACACGAAAGUGGACGUAUACGGUGUGACGCCUGCCCGGUGCCGGAAGGUUAAUUGAUGGGGUCAGCGCAAGCGAAGCUCUUGAUCGAAGCCCCGGUAAACGGCGGCCGUAACUAUAACGGUCCUAAGGUAGCGAAAUUCCUUGUCGGGUAAGUUCCGACCUGCACGAAUGGCGUAAUGAUGGCCAGGCUGUCUCCACCCGAGACUCAGUGAAAUUGAACUCGCUGUGAAGAUGCAGUGUACCCGCGGCAAGACGGAAAGACCCCGUGAACCUUUACUAUAGCUUGACACUGAACAUUGAGCCUUGAUGUGUAGGAUAGGUGGGAGGCUUUGAAGUGUGGACGCCAGUCUGCAUGGAGCCGACCUUGAAAUACCACCCUUUAAUGUUUGAUGUUCUAACGUUGACCCGUGAUCCGGGUUGCGGACAGUGUCUGGUGGGUAGUUUGACUGGGGCGGUCUCCUCCUAAAGAGUAACGGAGGAGCACGAAGGUUGGCUAAUCCUGGUCGGACAUCAGGAGGUUAGUGCAAUGGCAUAAGCCAGCUUGACUGCGAGCGUGACGGCGCGAGCAGGUGCGAAAGCAGGUCAUAGUGAUCCGGUGGUUCUGAAUGGAAGGGCCAUCGCUCAACGGAUAAAAGGUACUCCGGGGAUAACAGGCUGAUACCGCCCAAGAGUUCAUAUCGACGGCGGUGUUUGGCACCUCGAUGUCGGCUCAUCACAUCCUGGGGCUGAAGUAGGUCCCAAGGGUAUGGCUGUUCGCCAUUUAAAGUGGUACGCGAGCUGGGUUUAGAACGUCGUGAGACAGUUCGGUCCCUAUCUGCCGUGGGCGCUGGAGAACUGAGGGGGGCUGCUCCUAGUACGAGAGGACCGGAGUGGACGCAUCACUGGUGUUCGGGUUGUCAUGCCAAUGGCACUGCCCGGUAGCUAAAUGCGGAAGAGAUAAGUGCUGAAAGCAUCUAAGCACGAAACUUGCCCCGAGAUGAGUUCUCCCUGACUCCUUGAGAGUCCUGAAGGAACGUUGAAGACGACGACGUUGAUAGGCCGGAUGUGUAAGCGCAGCGAUGCGUUGAGCUAACCGGUACUAAUGAACCGUGAGGCUUAACCUU
rnacentral:rRNA from 1 species